CCAGAGAAUUGAAUGUUAAUUUCUCUACCAUAAACUGCAUCCGUUGUUUUUAGAGAAUUGACUGGUACGUCCAACCGGUCUCACAACCGCAGACCACGUGUAUGGCGUUGUGUGGGGCGAGCGGUUUGCUGAUGUCAGCGUUGUGAACAGACUGGGCCCCAUGGUGGAGGUGGGGUUAUGGUAUGGGCCCUAUGGUGGAGGUGGGGUUAUGGUAUGGGCCCCAUGGUGGAGGUGGGGUUAUGGUAUGGGCCCCAUGGUGGAGGUGGGGUUAUGGUAUGGGCCCCAUGGUGGAGGUGGGGUUAUGGUAUGGGCCCCAUGGUGGAGGUGGGGUUAUGGUAUGGGCCCCAUGGUGGGGUUAUGGUAUGGGCCCCAUGGUGGAGGUGGGGUUAUGGUAUGGGCCCCAUGGUGGGGUUAUGGUAUGGGCCCCAUGGUGGAGGUGGGGUUAUGGUAUGGGCCCCAUGGUGGGGUUAUGGUAUGGGGCAGGCGUAAACUACGGACAACGAAC
rnacentral:lncRNA from 1 species